GUGUUUGCUUCAGCCGUGCAUGUACUACAUUGAGUGAUGCAGAGAAGGUUAGCAUGGCCCCUGUGCGAGGAUAACAUACAAAUUUGUAAAGCUUUCUAUAUAUGU
ensembl:snRNA U6 U6 spliceosomal RNA